GCUCUGGAAACAUCACGGGCUCUUCGCCCGGCCGCCGCUGCUGAAGGGCACCCCCUGGAGGCCCCGCCGGCGGUUCGGAAGAGUAAGGCCGCACGCCUCCGAUGAAAUCUCGCCCUUCCCCGCCCCAGGCAGCGAGCGGGGCAGGAAGCGGUGGCGGAGCGAGUAUGGCGGACUAUUCCACGGUGCCCCCUCCUGCUUCGGGCGCGCCCGGGGGAGGCGGCGGUGGAGGUGGAGGAGUGAACGAUGCCUUUAAAGACGCGCUGCAGAGAGCUAGGCAGAUUGCAGCAAAAAUUGGAGGAGAUGCUGGUACAUCCAUGAAUUCCAAUGACUACGGUUAUGGAGGACAAAAAAGACCUCUUGAGGAUGGAGAUCAACCAGAUGCUAAGAAAGUUGCUCCUCAGAAUGACUCUUUUGGAAAUCAGCUACCACCAAUGCAUCAACAACAAAGGUCUGUGAUGACAGAGGAGUACAAAGUUCCAGAUGGAAUGGUUGGAUUCAUCAUUGGCAGAGGUGGAGAGCAGAUCUCACGCAUACAGCAAGAGUCAGGAUGUAAAAUACAGAUUGCACCUGAUAGUGGGGGCCUGCCUGAAAGAUCAUGCAUGUUAACUGGAACCCCAGAAUCUGUUCAAUCUGCAAAAAGGUUACUUGAUCAAAUAGUUGAAAAGGGAAGACCUGCACCUGGCUUUCAUCAUGGUGAUGGACCUGGAAAUGCAGUCCAAGAAAUUAUGAUUCCAGCAAGUAAAGCAGGAUUAGUUAUUGGUAAAGGUGGAGAGACAAUUAAGCAAUUACAGGAGCGAGCAGGUGUCAAAAUGGUCAUGAUUCAAGAUGGUCCACAGAACACUGGUGCUGACAAGCCCCUUAGAAUAACUGGAGACCCUUAUAAAGUUCAACAAGCCAAGGAAAUGGUGCUGGAGUUAAUUCGUGAUCAAGGUGGCUUUAGAGAGGUGCGCAACGAAUAUGGGUCACGAAUAGGAGGAAAUGAAGGGAUAGACGUUCCAAUACCACGGUUUGCUGUAGGUAUUGUAAUUGGAAGAAAUGGAGAGAUGAUAAAAAAGAUACAGAAUGAUGCUGGUGUUAGGAUCCAAUUUAAGCCAGAUGAUGGAACAACUCCUGAUAGAAUAGCCCAAAUCACAGGGCCUCCUGACAGAUGUCAACAUGCUGCAGAAAUUAUUACAGAUCUCCUUCGAAGUGUUCAGGCUGGUAACCCUGGUGGACCAGGAGGACCUGGUGGUAGAGGAAGGGGUAGAGGUCAAGGCAACUGGAACAUGGGUCCCCCUGGUGGAUUACAGGAGUUCAAUUUUAUUGUUCCCACUGGCAAAACUGGAUUAAUCAUUGGCAAAGGUGGUGAAACUAUUAAAAGCAUAAGCCAACAGUCUGGUGCUAGAAUAGAACUUCAAAGAAAUCCUCCUCCUAAUGCAGAUCCAAACAUGAAGAUGUUUACUAUCCGUGGAACGCCCCAGCAAAUAGAUUAUGCACGGCAACUUAUAGAAGAAAAGAUUGGAGGUCCGGUAAAUCCAUUGGGUCCACCUGUUCCCCAUGGACCCCAUGGUGUUGUUCCUGGCCCACAUGGACCUCCUGGCCCACCAGGCCCUGGUGCUCCCAUGGGACCAUAUAACCCAGCUCCUUAUAAUCCAGGGCCUCCUGGCCCAGCACCUCAUGGUCCUCCAGCUCCGUAUGCUCCUCAAGGAUGGGGAAAUGCUUAUCCGCACUGGCAGCCACCAAAUCCACCAGAUCCAGGUAAGCCAGGAACAGAUCCUAAUUCAGCGGCAUGGGCAGCUUACUAUGCUCACUAUUAUCAGCAGCAAGCACAGCCACCACCUGCAGCCCCUCCUGGUGGACCAGCUACAACCCAAACCAACGGACAAGGAGAUCAGCCAAACCCAGCCCCAGCAGGGCAGGUUGACUAUACAAAGGCAUGGGAGGAAUACUACAAAAAAAUGGGUCAAGCAGUUCCUGCACCUGCUGGAGCUCCGCCAGGUGGUCAGCCGGAUUACAGCGCAGCAUGGGCUGAGUACUACAGGCAGCAGGCAGCAUAUUAUGCCCAGACAAGUCCCCAGGGAAUGCCACAACAUCCUCCAGCACCACAGUGCAGGUUUGAUCCAGCCAGUAUAGAACUAGCUCUGUAGGGGUGAGGAGGACUGUGCUGUGUAUCAUCCUUGAUUGUUCCUUCAAGGAGCAUUGCACUUGCCUUCCCAGACCUUCCACCUUAGGUUCUGCUGCAAAAAAGCAACAGGUAAGCACAACCUAAGGAAGUAUAUAAAUUUAAAUAUUUCAGUACAUUAAUGUUGUCCCUGUGAGAUCUUUGUGGUUGUGUAUUGAAAAGCAAUCUUCUGCUUACCCAAAUGCAUUGUUACUCACGGUUCCAUUUCAGUGGAAAGUCUUUAAGUUUUUAAACAACUGUUUAUAUUUCUAGGUAAAUAUGUAUCUUUUUUUUUUUUUUAAGAAAAGAUGAGUAGAUUGCAGUAAUUGAAGUCAAGCAGAAUAAGUAGUCAUUUUUGUUCUUUUUCCUCAAAUAGCUACUUGUUGCAAUUAAAGAAUCAAAAUCUUUACAAUAUGCAGGAAUAACUUGUGAUAGAAAUGUCAACAGCCUUCACAAAUGUUUUUUAUAGUAGGGCACUGUUCUCACUCAACCCAUAAGACGUAAAUACAAAGAAUAUAACUUUUUGUUGCCGCUGAACUUGAUGACUUGUCUUACAGUUGCAGUGUGUUAGUGGCAUUUUUAGAUAACUUAGUUUGCUAAUUCAUACUUGACAUAGUAGGAAAAUAGAAUCUGGAGUUUCACAGAUUAGUAUGUUUUACUUGGAAAAGCAUGUGCACCAAUUAAAUGUUAACUAUACAGCAAAUAAUAUUUUAUCCAUAUAUCAGUCAGUGUAUCUUGUUUCUUGAUACUUUAACUGAAUUGCUGUAUAUUUUGAUAGUUUAAAAUGUUUGUAUGUCUUAUAGAUGGUCUGGUACAGGUUUUUCUUUUUUUUUUUUUAGCUUAAUAUAAAGCAGCAUCUGUUUGUUUUUUUGUUGUUGAUUAUUCUGUUUCUGAAAUGUGCUGCUCCUCUUUCAAAAGUCCUGCUUAUCUGUACAUUCAAGAAAAAUAUUCAAAAAUACUGCCUUCAUUUUCACACACAGUGCUGAAGAUGCUGCAAGCACCAAAUCAUAGCUCAUAGAAUCAGGUCCUGAGAUAGUUACUACCAGUAAAGAGGAAUCCUUUGAGUGUAUGCCAUUGGUGAGCCGAUGAGCAUGGACCGUAGAAGGGCUCCAUGUAGAAGGUAAAAUUGGCAAAAGCAUAACAGAUUUGAAAUGUAUCCCAUGGUGUAGGGUAUGAUUUUUGUUUUGAUCACUUUUCAUUCUUUAAAGUAUUAUUUGUUUGACCAUAAAUGUUCCAUGAUCUGUUUUUUUUUAAACUGUGAUUUAAUAAUAUUAAACAAGCAAUUUUAAUUUAUAUUCUUCUAUAUGGUCAAGCUUAGAUAUCUUGACUUUUUGAACUGAAUCAAUAGUUGUCGUUUAGUUUCUCAAGCUACUUAAUAUUUGAUUAUCUGUAGUGUAAUAUGUAAUUUGACUUCAGUUUUGACACAAGAAAAAGUUAGGUGUGUACCAUUUGGAUUUUGAUACUGUGAAUUUAGUGUUGGGGUGAGUCAUUUCUUCACUUCCUUUUAUGUGGUACUUUUUUCUUAUAACUGUCAUUCCUAAAAUAUUAUUAACAAUAUUUCAAUUGGUAAGUUUAGCCAGUGGGAGGAAGUAAGGAAGAAAGCCAGUUUAUUGGAAUGUUGCUGGGGUGUGGAAGAUAAGUUUCUUACCUCAGCGUAUAGCACUUGAGGUGUAUUGACUGUCACUGCAGAGCUUACAGGCAUGCUGUUUUCUACUAAAUGUAGUGGUUAUUUUUCAACUCUCCAAAUUCGCAGUUCUUAGGAGAAUUUUAAAAAAGGGGAAAAAAAAACAAAACCAACAUUAUUGGAGUUACUCUGGCAGAAGAUAACUAGACUUAAAAAUGUAAUGAACUUGUCCAUAAGCCGUGUUUAUAUGGUUCUUUUUUUUUUCCUUGCCCUUGAAGUCCUAACAAAUUAGGUAGAGUUUAAAGAAUAUGAAAGUUCUGUAAGGGAAGCAUGUUUGAGGUAGGGGAAAGAUUUUCAUAUACCUUUCUACAGCCUAGACUGUAGUAGGACAUGAAAUAAAAUGUCAGGUGGAUAAUCUUCAGUCUAGCAUGAUCACAGGUCAUCUAUUUUGUUCAAGUUGAGCAGGCAGACAGGAUCGUUAUUCACUUGCACAGCCUAUCUUAACAUUUUUCAUCGUUUUACCAGUAGUAUUUUAUUGUAUCAGAUGACAGAAAAUGUUUCUCCCCUGUUCUCUUCCAAAGUAAUUUUAAGUUUUCCAUUGCAUGCUAAGAGCUUCUAUUUUGCUUUUGUCUGAAAGUGGGGGGAGGAAGGGAGGACCGGGCCUUUCAGAAAGCCUGCAGUUGACAGGAUUCCUUCUUCCCUAGUAAUAGCUCAUAAAACUCGUAUGUAUGCACAAAUAUUUCUCUUGCGUGCAUGUGAAAUGCAUUUUCGUCCUGAGAAAAGUGUUCUCUGCAGAAACUACCCGUGUGUAAAAAGAAGAUUGGCUUUAAAAGGCAACUGUGAUGGAAACAGUGUCUUAGGGAGAUGCAGCUUGGACUUGAGGUAAAUUGAAUGCUUUACAAAAAUGUGGUUUUGAGCUUGCAUUGACAUUGUAUGUAAUAUGGGUACACGUUAACUGUAUAAUGUUUUUUGUAUGGUUUUUCUCAAUAAAUGUAAACUGAUGGAUAAUAAUA